rnacentral:rRNA from 1 species
CUCCUACGGGAGGCAGCAGUGAGGAAUAUUGCGCAAUGGAGGCAACUCUGACGCAGCCAUGCCGCGUGCAGGAAGAAGGCGCUACGCGUUGUAAACUGCUUUUAUCCGGGAAGAAACCCCAGGACGUGUCCUGGGUUGACGGUACCGGAGGAAUAAGCACCGGCUAACUUCGUGCCAGCGCCGCGGUAA